UAUAGAGUCUAAAUACAUGUAACAUAUAUACAUAAAAUUUUACUUUCUGUUGUAGAAACAUGUAAAAACGGUAUAAGAACGGUUACUAUAUAACUGUUGCCCAUUUAUAAUAUAAUCGCUGCAUAAGAUAGGUGUCGAAAAAUUUAGGAUCCGAAAUUUUCCGCCCUUUUCUUUAAAAGACUGAAAAACACUGGUCUCGCAGGCAAAAGCCCUUAAAUAUAUUCCUAUGUGUCUCGUGCUAAAAUAAAUCGAUAAAAUCUUUAUAGGCUUCAUAAAAUUAUCUUAUAAUUUUAAAAUGUGAUUGUUCAACAAUGAUUGGAAAUCCUUAAUUAUUAGAUAAUAACGCAUCUAUAAUUCUUUCACGAUUCAUUUAUAUUCAUCUAUGUAAUAAUCUCAAUUGAAACAAUAAUCUAAUUCUGUACAAUCCUAUAAGCAAAUUGCAAUUAUUAUAUGUGUUAUGAUUAAAAUCGACUAUCGAUUUUUCCCAAAAAUGAGACAAUAACAUAAUAAAAUAAAACGAAAAAUCCUCUUCACUUUCUCCACAGUUUUUCACAAAAGCGCUUCAAAAAGUGUCAAAUAGCGAGAACAGAGCACUUUUGACGCACUUUUGACGAAAAGGAGCUAGACCGGACAUACUGUAAAGUCAAUAAAAACAGCAAUGAGUUCAGAGUACUAACAAUUAAAUGGGACAACUGACAAAUAAAAACCACGGUGCGAGUGCUCAAACUUAUUUUUGUUAAAUUUUAUUAACAAAUAUAUGCAUUAAAAAUGUACGUUUCGGACCAUAUUCAGCAUAGAUCUAAAAAUAUAAAAAUUAUAUUGGUAAUCUAAAAUUUGACACAAUACACAAUAUUUGUGAUUGUAGUCAAAUUUCAAAUUAAAAUUAAUCAGAAAGGAAGGCUUACUUAAAACUCGGGAGUCUGUAAAUUAAUGAAUAGCAUCCAAGCCAUCGCUACAUGUAUAUCCAUCGAUGAUUUACAACUAAAUAAAAAAAGAAAAUAUUUGAUUGCAAUAAUAAAUUGUAAAAUUCCAAUAUAUAAUCUUCAUAUUUUAUAUCUAUGCUAAAGAUAGACCAAAAAACGAUCUGAAACGUCAUUUUUAAUGCACAUUUGUUAAUAAAAUUUAACAAUAAUAAGUUCACGCACCAAUACUUGCGCCUUGGCUCUUGUCUGCUAUAUAUAUAGCCGUCAAUUUUCUCAUUUAUACUGUAAAGUGUCAAGUGUCAACUACGUGCAUUUCAACUGUGCAUAUAUAUACGCAUGCGUGCGAAAAAAAGAAAAAACAUCAGUGUGUUGAACCUAGUUUGCGGCGGUCAGUGACAGUGACGGUAGAAUCAGUAACCGUUGAUGAUCUAUAAUGAUUCUUAAUUUUAAAGUUUAUAAUAAAAUUAUAAACCCAAAACAAGAAAGUAAAGUGAAGUAAAAAUAAUUGAAUUAUCAUCAUGAAAAAAAAUAAAAUACAUAGAAAACGCAUGGUUGCGCUAAGAUUGAAUAAAACUAUAAUUGAUGCGUCUCGUAAAUACCGUGAGUUGCAAGUCCAUUGACCUGUUUCGAGAUGAAGAAAUAUUUAUGUAUAUAAAUAUAUAAGAAAAAUGACUGGAAGGAUUGUAGAGUUUACCAUCGAGUUCAACAUCGGUCAUACACUAUCAUAUGUAUCAACUCAUUUAUCAUCGAAAAAUUAAAUAAUAUUGAGUAUCGACUUGAGUCUGCUUAUUUAAAAAGCUUCAAAAACUAACCGCGCAUGAGAAAAAGUUUACGGCAGCUGGAUUUUAUUACGGAGAAAACAAUAUUGUAAAAUAUUUCGAAUGUUAAAUAGACUUACAUACAUGGCUAUCGCAGAACGACUUGAUCUUUGAACAUAUACGGUGGAUUAAAACAUGCAGUUUCGUUUAUAAUUACUCAUGCGGUACUAAUCAAUGCUGAUCCCGAUAAGAUUCCCUUUUUUAUGCUUGAAGAAUAUGAUAUAUGAGUGGACUUUGUGAUGACAAUAUGAUGAUCUCUGUAAUUAGAAAAAAAAUAUUCUUAAAGAUAUAAAUGCAAAAAAUACCAAGAAAAUUAACUCAAAUCUUAGUGCGAUAAUAUCGAAAUAUCUCGAAUAUGCCAGCUAUGAUACCAGGUUGUGACAUAUGAAACGUCGUCUAAAAUAUUGUCAUAAAUUAAAGAGGAAUUUGCAGCCGUUGGUUCAUUCUACGCAGAAAAUGGAUCAAGCAUUGUUCUAUCAUUGCGGAAAAAGAUUGAAAUUUUGGAAAUUAAAAGAUAAUGCUUAGAACCACCACGCCAAAUGAUUUAAUCAUUAUCCUUACUUGCAUAAAGUCAAAGAAAUGAAUUUUAUAAACAAGGUCACUAAGAAAAUAUAUAUAUUCUGAAUCGAAUAUCGGAACCAUUAAUCGCGCAAGAAUUGAAAGGUGCAAAAACUUUUUAUGAAUUCUUUAAUGAAAAAGAAACAUGAGAAUGUGCAUACAAUAUCAUCAUUAUCUAUAUUAAUAUAUAAUUCAUCACUCACAUCUAUAUAUAAUAAAUUAUUUGUAUGAAUUUUAUUAUAGUAUAUGCUAUGCAUUAUCAUAAAAGA